ensembl:lncRNA
UAGGACUAGCAGAAAGGAACUCUGGCCAUACAAAAGCACUUGAUGAGUGGAACUGCUGCUUCUGCUAUUCAGGUUUGAAACUGAGUUGGUGAUAGGGACUAUGCUAAACUGCAUCUUACUAGGCUUCUCUUUUUUACUGGACAUUCCCUAAGAAAAGAGAUAAUUUCUAACAGAUUCUAUCUGUCCUCUCCAUCCUCUACCCAGGUCUAUUUGUACCUGAAACAGCAGUACUAAUACCUACAACACAGUUGCUUCCCAGAGGACUGAAUUCCUCUCUCCAGGUAUGUUAGCUUAUAAGAACCUGAGAUUCUUUUAUUUAGAACCAAUUGUAAUGCCUCCCCUAUGUCUUUCAUAUAACUUUUCACACUUACUGAACAAGGCAAAAUCUAGCCUGGUUUGUUGUUUGUUUGUCAGUUAUUGGCCAUGACAUUUAUACAGUUAUCUUGUUCCUCUCAUGCUAACAGAUCAAUGAUGCUUUCUCAUUUUGUUGGUACUCUGAGAUCGGCAGAUAUACAGGUUUACAUAGAAAUAGAGACUAAAAUCACAAAAGAGAGUACAGUUAAGUUUAAUACAGAAGAGCUUCUCAGGCCUGUCCUCCAUGUAAUCCCCAGUAGUGCAGCAGGCAAGAUUUAUUCCAUUCAUAAUCAAGCUGAACACAGAGGCUAAAUGAUAUACCCAGGGUUAAAAGAUAUAUUGGCACCAUAGCUGGUAAUAUGUCUCAGAGCAUCUAAACAGGCUAAAGUUGAUGAAGUACUCAGGUACUGUAAUCCUAGCCCUCCUUUUUCUCCAAUGGACUGUGCUAAUCAAUUUCUGUUUCAUAUUUCUUCUUUCUCUCUGCCUAUUGCUUCUUAGGCUUAAAGAACAGUAAAUAAGUCACUGCAUUGUACUAGUUUUAAUCCAAAAUGUUGAUAACCAGUGUUUUCAAGGGACCAUCUCUUCUCUUGGAGAAAGUCUUAUGUUGCCAGAGACCCUUCUGAAGGCUUAGCAUCUCCUGGCCACCUUUUAAUCUCAAUACAUCUCAGAAUUUUGUGGACAAAACAUCUGUAGUGGAUUAGGCAAAAGACAUUUCUGCUUUGGGAAAUGGUAGCUUUUGCUUGAGUCAGAUAUUUGUACUCCUAGUGUCAGUAUCUGCUUUCCUCUAUAAAGGCAAAGACAACACUUCUCUCCGGGGAUCAAAGAGAAAAGUUCCUGUGUAGAUCCUUUUGCUCUGAUCUUUCCCUUUUGCAUGUUUAACUUAUUUGUGUCUGAAGUAGAUAGAAGGAGAGCUGUCAGAAUUUAAAUCAAAACUUAUGAGGCAUUGCAGAACAAGAGAAACAUCUUCUCUUAGGAUAGCAUUGACUCCUUUUGGGUCAAAAGAAGGAAAAGCAAGUGGGAUUGGUUUCACUACAUCCGCUAUCAUCUUGGUCUUUAAGUUAUUGGGAGGAAUAUGGAGAGCAGACACCCAGCCAUCACAAAGCAAUAUGUACGUAUGUGUAUUCACAUGCCCACACUGUGCCAGAGUAGCUGAUGUAAGAACAGAAGUGUGAGGGAGGACUCAUCAACCCUGUGAAAUGAACAUGGAAAGGGACUGCCUGGCUUUUGAGUCUACUUGGAGUGGUGGGUGGAAUUGGUUUGCGUUGUCAGUGUUUUGUUUUUGUUGGGGGAAUUUUAAGUUUCAGCCCAGAUUUCUCUGUGUCUGACUUGGGCUCUUGUAUCUGAAUUAUGUUAUUGAAGGGGUGAAUGAGAGUUGGUUCCUUGAUAGUUUUAUUAGACAAACUGUUACUGAUACCUUAUCCACUUUACAGUAUUGCCAAUCCCAUUUCCACGCUCUUCUGAUCUGAUAAGUGCAUUUGUGUUAACAACAACUCAAACUUCUAUAGAAGGGAGCACAGAGCCUCUGUCAAGUUGGAAUCCCUCUUUAGUCUGUGAUCCACAACAUGUGAUUAUUUUUGUAUGCAGUGUUUUCAGCUCACUGAGAAAGAUUACAGUUUCAGCCUUUGCACAUUUUUUCUUGACUUUUUGUUUAAAAUUUUUAUUUCUUUUCUGGAUGAGCAAUCUAAAAUCGUCAGUAAAAGUGAUAUAUUACCUAGGUAUUAUGCCAUUGUUUUGUUUGGAGUUUACCCUUAUAAUUAUUUCUGUCAGCCUCUGGAAAUUGGCUAAAUUUUCACAUACUUUGGUUUUCUAAGUUCCUGUGGUUUGUAAAGUAUAAGUGGAUUAUUACUCUAGCGCAUUCUGUACUAGACUCCCUUCUUGUUUGAAUUUAGCCUAAAUACAGAAUACAUAGCACUGGUCUGCUCUAAACAGAGAUCAAAUGCAGGUAGUGAAGAGAAGCAAUUUAUUGCCACUAGUUCACCCUCUGUAACAAGGAAGAUAUUUAAUUUGUGUCCUUCAGAAUAGAUAGAUCUGUACUGAUGCAAACUGGCUUAUUCCUCUAACAGAGCACUUACUGGCCAUAAAGUAGUGAGAUGGAAGGAUAGCAAAAGUAGUGGCCCAGCAUUUAAGAAAAUAAAUAAAUUCUGACGAGCUUAGUGUUCGGCUUAUCUAAGGUCAAAGAUGAAAGCUUUCAUCAAGUAAAACAAAUACAAGUAAAGGGAAUUCCAUUUGAAGGAGAAAGGUGGAACUGUUAGAAUGGUGGUUGGUUUUUAAAUAAUGUCACUGAGUUUUGAAGGAUUUGAAAAUCCAAAUGCAUUCAAAAGCAGGCAAAAGAUUGGGCAGUGGAUCAGGUGAGUAAUGGAGCAUGUUAUGUACCUUCUCACUUCAUCAUUUGUUGCUGCUCAUAGGAAGUUGGCCCAUAGUGGCUGAGGGCAAAAUACACUGCUUACAAGAUUGUUUGGGAUUAUAGGAUAACAUCUCUCAUCUUUUUCUAACCAGCCCCAUUCAUUUCUGUCAUCCACAUUACUGACCAUUUGGAUGUAAGAGAAGAAAGAGUUAGAACAGAACUGCAAAAGUGAGGGCAGUAAGCAGAAGAGGAUAAAACCUUUCUCGGUCAGGACUGGGAAAAAGUAAGAGUGCUCUCUCUCCUGGAUUCAAAAAUCAUAUUGCUAUGAGAAAAAUUCUUGAGCAGAAGAGGAACGAGAGCAGUGUCUAGAGACGCGUGAUAUCCGUUUAUAUUUUUUUAGAAGAUAUAAUGAGAUACAUAGGCUAGGACAGAGACUCUUUAAUUGUUUUCUGUAAAUAAGGAGUCAGAGAACAUUCAUCUCUUACGCAGGCCAGCUGGAGACAAAGGCCAGCUCCAUAAGGAUACCAAAGUGUACAUAUUAUGACAAGGAGUAGGAUCUCCUUGGGUGAAUGCCAAAAGAGAGUGCUCUCACUAAAGCUGUAAUUUCUGCUGGCAACAAAGCAAAGUCUGAAGGCCAUAUGGUCUUAACAUUGUCCUCUUUGUUGACUGUGUCUUCUAGAUUGCAGCACAUAACUACAACCUUUAUCAGAGUUGAAACCUGCACCCUUAACUCUGGGGAAGGUUGUGUUUCAGGUUGCUUUCCUUCCGCCCCAAGGUCCUUCAGUGGGAACACAACUGUGUCAAAGUUUUACUUUAUCUGCCUUGUCAAGGAACACUUUCUAAAACUAGGGAUACUCUAUUUCUAGAUGACUAGCACCUAUGACUCAAAGUCUAGAAUUGAGUAGUUUUUCUACUCCAAACCGUCUUUCAUAUUAACACUAGUCUUGGCACAGCAGUAGGUAGUGGAAUCCCUCCUAGAAACAGGUGAUAUACUUCCAGAAAUUUUGCCAGUUAGCAUAGAUGCAUGACCUUCUCAAGUGAUGCACACCAAGCUAAUUGUUGCUUUUAGGUGUAAAGUAUGUACUGAAUGGUAUGGAAGUUGAGAAUUUGUCUAAAUGAAGGGCAAAGUAGGGCUUUGUAAGAUUUAGGAGGAUAGAAUAAGUCUUAGUAUGUCCUUUGCAUCUAGUUUUGACAUCUUUCUUGAAUGUUUAACAUCAGAACAUCAAAGCAUCUUGUAGGACCACUAUGCAAGCAAGGUAGCCCAGUUUUUCCAUUAUGCAGAUGACACAACUGGGACAUAGAGAGAGCAAAUGACUUGCCCAGAAUCUCACAGAAAGACUGGAAAAAAGUAAAGAACUGAUCAGCACUCCCUAUGGAAAGUUAGCACAGUACUUUCUGCAAAAUCAUUUAUGUGUAGGGGUUUUAACUGACCAGGCAAUUGUUUAUUUAUCUGUUAUAUUCCAGAACUUCUUGCUGUAUUCUUGUUUUCCUAUUUCUGGUAAAUAAAUCUUUCAAAC